rnacentral:rRNA from 1 species
GGAAUAUUGGUCAAUGGACGCAAGUCUGAACCAGCCAUGCCGCGUGCAGGAAGACGGUCCUAUGGAUUGUAAACUGCUUUUAUACAGGAAGAAACAACUCUACGUGUAGAGUCUUGACGGUUCUGUAGGAAUAAGGAUCGGCUAACUCAGUGCCAGCAGCCGCGGUAAUACGGAGGAUCCAAGCGUUAUCCGGAAUCAUUGGGUUUAAAGGGUCCGUAGGCGGCCUUAUAAGUCAGUGGUGAAAUCUCCUAGCUCAACUAGGAAACUGCCAUUGAUACUGUAGGGCUUGAAUUCUUAUGAAGUAACUAGAAUAUGUAGUGUAGCGGUGAAAUGCUUAGAUAUUACAUGGAAUACCAAUUGCGAAGGCAGGUUACUAAUAAGACAUUGACGCUGAUGGACGAAAGCGUGGGGAGCGAA